rnacentral:rRNA from 1 species
CAGUCGACGCUUCUUUCCUCCCGAGUGCUUGCACUCAAUUGGAAAGAGGAGUGGCGAACGGGUGAGUAACACGUGGGUAACCUGCCCAUCAGAAGGGGAUAACACUUGGAAACAGGUGCUAAUACCGUAUAACAAUCGAAACCGCAUGGUUUUGAUUUGAAAGGCGCUUUCGGGUGUCGCUGAUGGAUGGACCCGCGGUGCAUUAGCUAGUUGGUGAGGUAACGGCUCACCAAGGCCACGAUGCAUAGCCGACCUGAGAGGGUGAUCGGCCACAUUGGGACUGAGACACGGCCCAAACUCCUACGGGAGGCAGCAGUAGGGAAUCUUCGGCAAUGGACGAAAGUCUGACCGAGCAACGCCGCGUGAGUGAAGAAGGUUUUCGGAUCGUAAAACUCUGUUGUUAGAGAAGAACAAGGAUGAGAGUAACUGUUCAUCCCUUGACGGUAUCUAACCAGAAAGCCACGGCUAACUACGUGCCAGCAGCCGCGGUAAUACGUAGGUGGCAAGCGUUGUCCGGAUUUAUUGGGCGUAAAGCGAGCGCAGGCGGUUUCUUAAGUCUGAUGUGAAAGCCCCCGGCUCAACCGGGGAGGGUCAUUGGAAACUGGGAGACUUGAGUGCAGAAGAGGAGAGUGGAAUUCCAUGUGUAGCGGUGAAAUGCGUAGAUAUAUGGAGGACACCAGUGGCGAAGCGGCUCUCUGGUCUGUACUGAC